UACGUAGGGCGCAAGCGUUGUCCGGAAUUAUUGGGCGUAAAGAGCUCGUAGGCGGCUUGUCACGUCGGGUGUGAAAGCCCGGGGCUUAACCCCGGGUCUGCAUUCGAUACGGGCAGGCUAGAGUGUGGUAGGGGAGAUCGGAAUUCCUGGUGUAGCGGUGAAAUGCGCAGAUAUCAGGAAGAACACCUAUGGCGAAGGCAGCUCUCUGGGACGGUACUGACGCUGAGACGCGAAAGCGUGGGGAGCGAACAGG
rnacentral:rRNA from 1 species